rnacentral:rRNA from 1 species
AGAGUUUGAUCAUGGCUCAGGAUGAACGCUAGCUACAGGCUUAACACAUGCAAGUCGAGGGGAAACGAUAUUGGAAGCUUGCUUCCGAUAGGCGUCGACCGGCGCACGGGUGAGUAACGCGUAUCCAACCUGCCCACCACUUGGGGAUAACCUUGCGAAAGUAAGACUAAUACCCAAUGACGUCUCUAGAAGACAUCUGAAAGAGAUUAAAGAUUUAUCGGUGAUGGAUGGGGAUGCGUCUGAUUAGCUUGUUGGCGGGUAACGGCCACCAAGGCUACGAUCAGUAGGGGUUCUGAGAGGAACGGUCCCCANAUUGGAACUGAGACACGGUCCAAACUCCUAGGGAGCA